UACGGGGGGGCAAGCGUUAUUCUACGUUACUGGGUGUAAAAAGUAUUCAGACGGUUUAAUAAGUUUCUUUUGAAAUGUUAGAAUUCAAUUCUAAAAACGAAUGUAAAUACUGUUAAACUUGAGUAUAUUAGAAGAUAGUUGUAUUUUUAGUGUAGGAUUAAAAUCCUUCAAUAUUAAAAAGAACAUUCACUUGGUGAAGACUAACUAUCUAGAGUAUUACUGACGUUGAGAUACAAAAGCGUGAGG
rnacentral:rRNA from 1 species